rnacentral:rRNA from 1 species
GUGAGGAAUUUUCCGCAAUGGGCGAAAGCCUGACGGAGCAAUGCCGCGUGAAGGAUGAAGGCCUAUGGGUUGUAAACUUCUUUUCUCAGAAAAGAAUUAUGACGGUAUCUGAGGAAUAAGCAUCGGCUAACUCUGUGCCAGCAGCCGCGGUAAGACAGAGGAUGCAAGAGUUAUCCGGAAUGAUUGGGCGUAAAGCGUCGUAAGGUUGUUUAAAAAGUAUUCUGUCAAAGAUUAGGGCUUAACCCUAGAUAGGCAGAAUAAACUUUUAAGCUAGAGGUUGGUAGAGGCAGAGGGAAUUCCCGGUGGAGCGGUGAAAUGCGUAGAUAUCGGGAGGAACACCAAAGGCGAAGGCACUCUGCUGGGCCAAUACUAACACUGAGAGACGAAAGCGAGGGGAGCAAAUGGGAUUAGAUACCCGAGUAGUCC